AAAACAUGAUUCCUCANUACGGCGAGCGAAGAGGGAUAAGCUCAAAUUUUAAAUCUGUUGGGUCUCACCUAACAGAGUUGUAUUUUGAAGAAACGUUUUCUGCGUCCAGGAUUAGCCUAAAUCCUUUGGGAUAAGGUAUCAUGGAGGGUGAGAAUCCCGUUCAUGGUUAAUCUUAAGGAUGCUCUACGAUACGUUCUCCAAGAGUCGAGUUGUUUGGGAUUGCAGCUCAAAAUGGGAGGUAAAUUUCUCCUAAGGCUAAAUAUUGGCGAGAGACCGAUAGCGAACAAGUACCGUGAGGGAAAGAUGAAAAGAACUUUGAAAAGAGAGUUAAACAGUACGUGAAAUUGUUGAAAGGGAAACGAUUGAAGUCAGUCAUACCAACGGGAAAUCAACCUCUUGAGUUUGGUCUUGUGGGUUUCGAAGAGUUUAAAAGCCUUCGGAUUUGCGAGGAUUGGGCUCUUUUGGUGUACUUUCUCGUACGGUUAGUCAACAUCGGUUUUGAAUGUCAUAAAAUGACUGGAGGAAUGUGGCUUCGAUCUCGUAUUGAAGUGUUAUAGCCUUUGGUAGAUGUGAUGUUCGAGACCGAGGAUUGCAAUGGAUACCCUUCUGGGCUAUUCGUCUGAUCUCUGAUACGUUGCCCUGAUGUCGAAAGCUUGCUUAUGAUGUUAGGGUAUUACGGUCAAAAGGUUAGAACGGAUUUAAAUUCGUUAAGGAUGUUGACGU
rnacentral:rRNA from 1 species